rnacentral:lncRNA from 1 species
CUCGAUCUUUUUGGGAUUUAAAGUGGUCUCGUUCGGAAACAGGAUUCUCCGUCGAUCGAUGUUGGGAUGGUGUGGUCAAUCGAUUCUGAGGUGCUACCCUCGAUCGAUGCUAAGUGAAGAUAACCCAUAUCAGCUUCUUCUGCUCUGUUUGGCUCUCCAGAUCCAUGAUAUUCAUCUCUCUUCGCCAUGGUGGGAUCGUCAAUAUGAUAUAUAUCUCAGCAUAGAUUCCAUCUCUAUUUCUAGAUUUGCUGCAACAUCAUAGAUAAAUUUGUUGAGGAAGGCGUUUGCGAUGUCAUUCCAGGCAGUAAGG